GGACGCAUAGGCGAUGGAGCUGAUGAAGGGUUUGGCGGUAACGCUGUUGGUGAUUGCGAUACGUACGGGCGGUAUAUUGGCAUCGCAAUUCUAUGACUACAAUUUUGGUCGCAAGCCCUGCAGCAUGGAGGGUGGAAUGUGCAUAGAAAGCAACACAGGUGGUCCUUUCUGCUGCACUGGAAUGUUCUGCACUCAUUUGCAGGAAGAAGGGGUAAUCUCAAGAGGAAUAUGCAUCGCGAAGACAGAAAACGCAUAAUAAUGUUAUUUGUAACCCUGUCGGCCAUAAUAAAUAUGUUCUUCGUGGA